UACGAAGGGGGCUAGCGUUGCUCGGAAUUACUGGGCGUAAAGGGCGCGUAGGCGGAUAGUUUAGUCAGAGGUGAAAGCCCAGGGCUCAACCCUGGAAUUGCCUUUGAUACUGGAGAGCUUGAGUCCGGGAGAGGUGAGUGGAACUGCGAGUGUAGAGGUGAAAUUCGUAGAUAUUCGCAAGAACACCAGUGGCGAAGGCGGACU
rnacentral:rRNA from 1 species